UACGAAGGGGGCUAGCGUUGUUCGGAAUUACUGGGCGUAAAGCGCGCGCAGGCGGUCUUCCAAGUCAGUGGUGAAAGCCCGGAGCUCAACUCCGGAACUGCCAUUGAAACUGUUAGACUUGAGGACGAGAGAGGUGAGUGGAAUUCCCAGUGUAGAGGUGAAAUUCGUAGAUAUUGGGAAGGACACCGGUGGCGAAGGCGGCUCACUGGCUCGUAUCUGACGCUCAGGCGCGAUAGCGUGGGGAUCAAACAGG
rnacentral:rRNA from 1 species